GUAGGUGGCAAGCGUUGUCCGGAAUUAUUGGGCGUAAAGCGCGCGCAGGUGGUUCUUUAAGUCUGAUGUGAAAGCCCCCGGCUCAACCGGGGAGGGUCAUUGGAAACUGGGGAACUUGAGUGCAGGAGAGGAAAGUGGAAUUCCACGUGUAGCGGUGAAAUGCGUAGAUAUGUGGAGGAACACCAGUGGCGAAGGCGACCUUCUGGCCUGUAACUGACACUGAGGCGCGAAAGCGUGGGGAGCAAACAGGGAUUAGAUACCCUGGUAGUCCACGCCGUAAACGAUGAGUGCUAAGUGUUGGGGGGGUUUCCGCCCCCUCAGUGCUGCAGCUAACGCAUUAAGCACUCCGCCCUGGGAGUACGGUCGCAAGACUG
rnacentral:rRNA from 1 species